GCACUGCUGAGGAGUCCCAAACUAGGGCGAAACGGCCUUCCAGUGC
rnacentral:hammerhead_ribozyme from 1 species